rnacentral:lncRNA from 1 species
CGAAACACCAAACAAACAAACAAACAAACAAAAAAGAAUCAAGUAACUAUUCUUUUUCUUACAUGUGAUUUACAUAUUAAUUUUAUGGUAUGGUUUGAAUGUUAUCUUUAGGUCCAUAAUUUAGAAGACCGUUUGAAAAGAUAUGAAAAGACUGUGUGUUCGCCACCUGUGGGGACGCCUCUCAAAGGUGGCAAUUUGUACCACACUGAUGUCUCACUCUUCGGAGAACCUACUGAGUUUGAAUAUUUGCGAAAAGUGCUGUUUGAAUAUAUGAUGGGUCGUGAGACCAAGGUAUGGUUCCUCCCUGGUGAAUUGAUGUGAGGCUCCUUUUAACACACACAUUAAAUCACUAUGCAGACAGUAUUCACAUAAGAACUGACUGGCAGUCUUGUUCUAUUAGAUACCAGCUUUAAAAAUGCUUUGGAUGUCACUAAAUACUGCUACAAUGAAAAUUUCAUAAACAAUAAGUUGUUUAAAAAAAAAAGUGAAGUAUGUGGCUAGUUUUUGUUGUUGUUGGCGGUGGUGAUGGUGGUGUGUGUGUGUGUGU